rnacentral:rRNA from 1 species
CCUACGGGAGGCAGCAGUGGGGAAUAUUGCACAAUGGGGGAAACCCUGAUGCAGCGACGCCGCGUGAGCGAUGAAGUAUUUCGGUAUGUAAAGCUCGAUCAGCAGGGAAGAAAAUGACGGUACCUGACGAAGAAGCCACGGCGAACUACGUGCCAGCAGCCGCGGUAAUACGGAGGGGGCAAGCGUUCUCCGGAUUUACUGGGUGUACAGGGAGCGUAGACGGCGGUGCAAGCCCGAUGUGAAAGCCUGGGGCUCCCCCCCGGGACUGCAUGUGGAACUGUGCUGCUAGAGUGUCGGAUAGGCAGGCGCAAUUCCUCGUGUCGCGGUGACAUGCGUAGUUUUUCGGCGG